UUAUAGAUGGCUGUGAGCCACCAUGUGGUUGCAGCGAAUUGAACUCAGGACCUCUGGAAGAGCAGUCAAUGCUCUUAACCACUGAGCCAUCUCUCCAGCCCACAGGUUAUUGUUUUUACUCCAGAGGAUGUGUUUACAUGAACAGCCAGUUUUACCAGUCUUCUGUUUAUCUGUCUUUCUUUCUUCCUUCCUUUCUCUCUUUCUUUCGUCUCUAGAUAGGAUACCCCUCCACUUUCCUGGCUCAGACACAGCAGAGGGAGACACCACAAGGGUUGCUUGUAGGUCUGUAGAUGACAGGGCUGGAGCUCUGGGCUAUCUCCCCUCCCUCCUUUCCUUUUCCCUUCCUUUCACACAACUGGAGAGACCUUUAGAGCUUUUAACCUGGGGCCCUAGGCAAAAGGACAGGCAGCAUGGGAGGCCAGGUACUGUAGACCAGGUUUGUGUGAAAGCCUGAAAACCAGUCCGUAUACCACAAGUUCUAAGAGAAAGCCCAGAAAACUGCAGACUGAGCAGGGAAGUGUCCUGUCUGAAUGGGAACUGACCCCUACAUGCUCAUCUAUUUCAACAACUUGAUCCCCAGCUGCCGGAACCUUUGGGAUGGAGGGAGGCAUGGUUUCUGGAGCCAGGGCAAGUCCUGAGGGCAGCUUCUGCCCGUACCCUGCUUCCUGGCACCCUGUGAGAGGCCUCCACACGGGUUCCCACCACCACAACCGAAAGCUGUCCUCACCAGCAUUCCUAACCUGUGGUGAUGGACAGGUCCCUCUGAAUUGUGAGCCAAGGACACCCUUCCUCCCUGAGAUUGCUUCUGCUCCUGUUUUGUCCCAAGUGCUGCUUAGAAAGUUACCAGAUCCAGAAAAUAACUUAAUGCAGAUUUUCAGCAUCUCCCACCCCCUCCAUCCCCCCCUCACAGCAAAGUGCGUACUGCCUUCCCUGGCCUGGGGGGUUGGGGGGUAGAUGCUGACCUGCAUUCCUUAAUGCUCCUUUGGCCCAGAGGAGUCCCCAGAACCUCCUGGAUGCUGGCUGAUGGGCCUCUGCAGGGUGCUGAACCCCAGCUGUACAGGAGAUGAGGGUGUGUACGCCAAGGCAGUGAGUGACAAGAGGCAGAAGCAAUCAGAUUCCCUGGAGGGAACACAGGACGGGGCAAGACAGAGUGGUGGCCUUGGGACUAGUACUGUGGAGUGUGUGCCAGCAGUGGAAACAUUCAGGUCUGGUCUAGGGCAUGAUGCGGCUGUCUGCAAAGACAGGACACGAGCAAUAGACAGGGCAGGGAUAGGAGAUAGGAAUCGUGGUGAACAGAGAGAAGACCCCAUGUGUCACCAGCCUUGGGAAGGUGUUGGCCCAGUAUAUGGUGAGCUGUAACCAACUUAUGGGUCCAGGCAUGGAGCUUGAGAACUGGCUGGUGGUGGGAGCCACAGGAGGGCACUGGCAACCUUGGCAGGCACAGUUCCCUCACCCUCAAUAUUUAACCCAUUCACUUGCUCACCAAAAGCCUGCCUUCCGUGAGUGGGGCAUGUGGAUUCAGGGCAGUGUGUGGAAUACUUCAUUUUCCUCAUACCUUGCUUCCAGAACCUUCCUGGCCCUUUUUGGAAGUUCAUUCUUCCACACGUUUUUUUGGACUCAGGUUGCAUAACUCUAAUAGCACCUAUUGGACCUAAUUUUUGUAGAAUGUCUUUCAGGACGAGCCACUGGCUCAUAGCUGUGGUCUUCUAACAGGUGUGGCACUUGGACAUGUUGGUUCACAUCAUUGCAGGCAGGGGUGCUUCUAACACAGCCCUACAGCGUAAUAUGGCAAUCCACGGUACUGGUUAUGCCUCACUGGAGAAGGGAGUCUUGCCAGCAUUCCCUCUGCCCAUCCUUCUGUGCGGUUGGGCUGUUUCCUGGGUCUGGGAUAGCCAUGGGGGCCUCCCUGGCUGUAGAGCCUUUCUGUAUUCUAGGCCACAGCUGUGGUGUCAGCUCAGGGCCUGCCUUCCUGUCACAAGCAUGGAGGCAGGGGCUGUCUGAAAGGAACAGGAACAAGGCCUUGCCAGAGCAGCCUGCAAAGGGCCAGAGCUAGAGCCGCCUGACAGGUCUGCAGGUUGGUAGAGGACAGGUAUGCCCACACCCACGCUCUGUUGACAUAAUACACCCGGUUUUCUUUUGCGUUGCUUGCGAAGGAGAGUCCUGGUGGACCCCUGUAGACUUCAUGCUGUGUGGACCACCAGAGGACAGACUGUCAUUUCCACAGAUAGGCACAAUGCUUUCAGUAUCACAUACAUAUGCCCCACCCAUAUGCGGGGUGUACGAGGUGUAUGCCCAAAAGGGUUAAGAGGAACGAGGCUCAGGAAGAGGGUUCAUCUUGCCUGGUGUUGGAACAAAUGCGGGUCUGCCUUUUAGAAGCCUGUUUUGUCGUGACAUUGGAUUAGGGGCUGUGAAAUGGCUUUGUGGUGAUUCAUAAGGACUUGUGUUAAAGUCAGCUAUCCAGAGAGGAGCAGUGCCAUGCUCUGGUUGGAAAGGGAGGGAAAGAAGGGGGUAGGGGAGAGCGCGUACUCAUGUUCCUUUGACUGCAGCUGUUCUGGAUGCUCUGGCACUGGAAGACGCCUUGUCAACCGCUCAGCAUCUCUGUGCCUGAGUCUUCAUAGGACUCCUGUGUCAUCGGACUUGUUCCAGCUGCCCUCCUCAGGUCCCUGUAGACCUGGCCUCCUCUGUCCCUGGACAUCAGACCUCUAGGUGAAUGCGGUUGGGUAGCUGGCUUCCCGGAGCCCGGAUGAGACUCCUUGUCUGCGGUCAAGUGUCCGGGUAUGCCACGUCAGACCACUGAGCACCACCAGGAAGCUGACUCACGAUGCUCGGCACAGUUCACCCUGCCUGCUGGGUGGACUGAGUCAUCGGGGAGAAAGGUGGACACGAUUCCAUCUGUCCUCACUGCCGAGGGACAGAGUCUGUGCUGUGCUCUCUUCUUCCUCUUGAGAAUGGAAAGUAACCCAGCAACCGUGUCUGAGGUAAGUGUGGUUAUAAUCGAGUUUAGCUUACAGGAAGCACAACCCUGAGUACACACGCCUCCAUCUGCCUUCCAGCGAUUCUCCCUUCUUUGACAGAGCCCCAAGCCUGCCCUGAAGAUAAGCCAUAACUGGUCUUUCCCAAGCCACGCCUAAGAAUGAACAAGGUAAGAAGUCCAGCCCCGCCCUCCUGUGAACAGCUUGGCAAUGUAGUGGGCCCAGCAGCAGGGUGACUAAAGGGCAGGGACUGAACAAGCUCACCCUUGGCCGCUGAUAGAGCCCGGAUGCACGAAUGCCAGGGAGAAGCCAGAGUCCUUCGCUUUCUGCCACAGAGCCUCUAACGAGACUGCAGGCAUCGAGUCCUCUCCCCCCAGGUGGGAUGUUCUGAGCACUGAAGCUGGCCUGCACAAGUCUACAGGACUGCAGCUCGGUGGCUUUCUCUGCUCACACAGUGCCUACUUAUAUACGUUCUCGCUAGAAAACAGAACAGAUGCACCCAGCGAUCCCGUCUACAUACAGCAAGUGGAGAAGAGAGACAUUGAUUUUCAGUUCCCAAAUCCUGUUUCACUAGAUGUGGGCCAUAGGAAAAGCAGUUUUGGGUUUUUUUGGGUUUUUUUUUGGUCUUUUUGUGUUUGGCCUUCUCGGGGUUUGGGGGAAGUACUGACCCCCUUCUCUGGUCGUCCACCUUCCCUUGAUGCACCGUAGCAUUUCUGCGCUGAGGAGCAAAGGAGGCAGGCGCUCAUCUGCGUGGUGCAGCCUUGUCCCCUGCUGGGCACAGGCCUCCCGCUACUGGGCAUCUCCCCCAUCGCUGGCAGCGUCAUCAGAGUGGGCAGGACAAAGGGAGCCAGUAAAUGAGCCAGUGCUAGCUGUCAUCAUGCAAGGCUGUGUGGACAUGAGGGUUCACCCAAGACUGGAACCUAGCAGGUGACCUGGGUCUUACUCUACCUCCUUGGCCAACUAGUGCAGAGUGCGUAGGAAGGAGAAGCCACACGCCACUGAACGGGGCCAAGGCAUGGAUGUGUCCAGCCAUUCUCACUUGCUCUGGGCCCCACAGACACUACCUUCACCAGACGGCAGCACGCCAUACAGGUGCUCACGCUUUCUGUGCUGCCUGCUAGACCUGAGCUCCAAGCUUCUGAAGGAGCUCUCUGGCCAGUUUUCUUGAGGCUGCAACGCAAAGAUGGUCUGAUCUGUACAAAGUCUGGUCAAGAAAGCCAACGAUCUCAUGGGUUACAGCAUCGGUGUUGGCCAUCUGCAAUGAGGAAGGAAAGGAAAGAUGAAAACACUACCCGGAGACCCCUCUGUCCAGUACACUCAGCAUGAGGCUGUGGGGGUGGAGGGGUGGAGUGUGUGGUUCGUUUCUGUUCUGUUCACAAGGUGAUUAUCAAGGCAUGUCUGUCCCCAGGGGUCCCUCCCUAUUCUACAGGACCACUUCCUGGCGACCAAGCUCCCCACUAGGACCAAAGUGAUCUUAGGCUCUCCAGGACCAAAGACAAGCACUGUGGAGGUGGCCAGACUUCCCAGCACCCUGGGAUUAUGUGCUGUGAGGAGCAGACAGCACCUAUCACUAGAAUUUCUUUUAAAGACUUGCCAUGCCCUGAGAACCAGAAAAGGCCACCUGCUUCCACACAAGCAGCCUUAAGGCGGCAUUCCUGGGCCAUCCACCUGCAGAGCAGCAGGCCGGGCGGUACUCUUGCUUGUUGACAUUCCUGCCGCCUUUCCCGGGGUCUCAGUAGAGACUCUCAGACGUUAACUAGGAUUCCUUGUAGGUGCAGCAGCAUUAGGAGCCCUGAGUUUGGAGGUAGACGCACGCGUGUUGUGUGUCAGGAUACAGCACCUGCAGGGUUAGCUCCAGCUCAGCUUCCUCUCUCCAGGGUGAACAGCCACCCUGGGUUUGCCCUCAUGUUGUGGCUUUGAGCCUUCACUGGUCCAUAGACCGACCCUCCUUCCUGGUCCCGCUCUGGCCACCAGUAAAAGGAAGCACAGCUAGGGAAAGCUGCAGUCUCAACGUGGCACACCUUGGCCGUGUUGCUGAGGUAACGGCUAGGGAUGGCCUGGGCUCUGGGCAUCCGACCUGUCACUGCCAGGUUGUGACUCAAAAGUCACCGCUGUGUGGUGCUGCAGUGACCUUAGCUAGAGACAGCCUCUGUCCUUCCUGGUGCAUCAAUCCCUAGGUGCCUUGAAGACGUACUGUGUGAGGGCACAGACUGCCUCCCGCUUGGGCAGGUGGUCACUACAGUCUAACCUCACACCUUUCCCAGGCAUAGAACCACACAGGAACCUGCCCCACAGUGAGUGCAGCAACCUUAGAGCAGAUCUCUCCAUCUCAGACUGAUGGGGAAGACAGGAGGUGGUCACAAAUGCGAUGAGGGGGGGCAGGGUGGAGAAGGCGCUGUAAGCACGCCCAUCCUAGCACCACUCAGAGAGCAGGCCUGCGGCAGCCCAGAACAGAGACAAGAAGGAGCCAGAGCAGAUGGUUACUGAGGUCUAUGGCAACUCAGAAGGCUGAAGCCAGAAAGGGAAGCCCACCAGAAGUGACCAGGAGCCAAACCUCCAGGCUGAAGUUGGAGGGAGCUGUGCUGUAUGGACAGUGUGCUAAGGUCGAAGGAGGUCCUGAGGAAGUGGACUACUUACUGCCCGCUCGCUUUAGCCCAGCUCUCCAGAGCUAGCUGCUGAGGCCCAAGGCAGACAGCAUGCCUGAAGGUGGCUCUAUGUCAGCUUUGAGUUUACAUAAAUCUGCCCUAGGGCCAGGGCCCUCUAGUGGCGGCACCCACACUGCUCUUACAGAAGUGCCCUUUUGCAGAAGACUAUGCUGCAGGUAGAUGGUUCCUGCCGUUGACUGGGGUGGGGGUCAGAAGCCCAGGGUCAAGCCUCCUGUAAAGGCAGGCUGUGUAGCUGCAAGGACAGUUUCUGGCAGCCUGCUGGACUCUGGGAUGGAGCACAUGGAGGAACUAGUGUGUGGCUUUCUCUAGACAGUUGAACUGACCUGGGUUUCUGUGAUACUGCAGUGCCUGGGGUAGAUGAGCACCGUUAGUGGGUAUGUGCAGUACAGUGCCGGACUUCGUACAAGGUCCAACUCCCCUCUCAGAAGCUGCGGCAUGCGUGGGCCAUGUGACCUGUCUUGAGUAUGGAAAGGCUGCUGGAACACCAAGCAGAGAGCUGCUAUCUCCAGGAGAUUUCUCACAUCUCAGGCAGGACCUAAGCCACUAUAGUCAGUGAGGGGGGACAGGACUCAGAAAGAGCAGGGACCAUGUGGCUCUGGAAGCCAUGCCCCAGCAGCAGAGCUGGCCCCGUCCACAGUUGGGGUGAGCAUUUACGAAGAGGUCACACUCGCCACUUCCGUAAGUCAGAAGCACCUACUGUCAACGGCAUCAGAGUUGGUGUCACCACAGGUAGCACAGUUGGAAGAGCUCCCACCCAUCCACCCAUGCUGUGUCCCUGUCACUCAGCGAGGUCCACACUUCAUUCUGGCUUCCAUGUCUUCUCUGUCCUGCACUCUCCAGAAUCUCAUCCAGGGCACAGCAGGGCCACCAUCCUGUCUCCUCUCGCUCUUGACUAUGGAGGUUCCUCAGAGUCUUGUUCUGACCACCUCGAAGGGCAUCAGUAAUUCUGUGCAACAUCCCUUACCCAGGGUGUGUCUCAUGUUUUUCCUCUGGUGAGACCUGGACUGUCGUUUUGCUGCUGUUCUGUGUGUGGCAGCUGAUGGUAAAUGGGACUUAGGCAAGCCAGUGAGGAGAGUUGUGCAUGAGGUUUAAUCAAGCAGGAAACGUGAGCGGUGCCCUCCCGUGAGCUGGGGUCCUAGACUGAACAAAAAGGUUACCUUGGGUGAGUGCAGACAUUGGUGGUGUUCUGCUUUUGAAUAAGGAUGCAGUGUGACCUGCCACCCCAAGCUCCCGCCGCUGUGACUUCCCCACCACGACGGGCUGUGCGCCCGAAUAAACUGCCUCCCCAGUUGCUUUCCUCUGCGUUUCAUCCAUCAACGAGAGAAGAAAUCCAAGGGACCACACACAGUGUCCCUCUCUCCAUGUGACACCAGGUGUGCAUGCCAGCCUGACUCCCCACCCCGGGAAGCUGACGGAGCUACUGCAACAGGCCUGCCUGCCAGGGAAGUUGGCUGGUGAUUGCAGGCCAUGUGGGGUUCUCCUGUUUCCAGUGGUCUACAUGCUGCCGUUGGUUUUCCUGGCGACAGUUCUGCUGUCCACACUGUGAGCUGAUUCCCGGUCAAUCCAAUCAACACACCAUCACCUUUAACACUAUGCAGAACACUUCAGGUAUAGCUGGGAAACUUUCAAGGAGAAUCACAGAGUCAGGAUCUGCUCGUGACUGCAAUACUGGACCCUUUGUCUAACACGCUGCUUGCCCAACAUGGUGGAUGAAGUCUGAUGAGGCAGCAUCUGUCUUGGUGACAGCCUCUGUUCUUCAGUGCCACAUUCAUGUUCUUGAAGGCAUGAGUUUUAGGAGCCUAGAUUUCUGAAUGUAUUAUUAAGCUGGGCCCGGAGGUGCCCCGAUGCAGGAGAGGGUUAGCCCUGCACUGACACAGGUGGCUGCUGUUCUGGUGGGCAGAGGGCUUUGUCAGGGAGGCAUCUGCCUCCUGGGCUUUCCUAGUGUUCACAUCCAGACUGAGACCCAGGUGGAUAGGGAAAAGCCCUUUCUUGGUUGGGUUGCUGGCUGCGUGAAUUCUGUUUUUUAUUUUGUUUAUAGAAAUCCAUCAAGCUAUGUAUUUCACAAUAUGUUAAUAAUUGAAAAAUAAAACUCCUGUAGUUAACAA